rnacentral:lncRNA from 1 species
CCUAAGGACUGAGCAAAGACUCAAAGUCAAGGGAGGGAGAACAUAUUGGAGCUAAACUCUGUCCAGACACACUAGUUUUAGCUUACAAACCAAAAGGUAAAAUUUCUAAGGGUGACAACUCGGAAUCAAAGGCAUGAGUAGCAGGGAACUGCGAUUUUUCAGACCUUCGCGGGAAAUGCUGGGCAAUCAAAUUCUAGGCCAAGGAUAGAGCUUGCCUCUACAAGCUUGCUAGAGCUCGAUUCCAUAGCUAAAGAUAUCCUUUGACACUUAGAAGGGGUUAUCAUCAAAAUCCAUCCACACCGAAAAUAUAAAAAGAAGAAAGAUGCA